CUGACUUUGACCGCAGGAGCUACUAUAGUUCAAGCCCAAGAGUGAAAGGUUACCACAAUCAAAAUGGCCUUGUCAACAAUCUACUAAAACCACUCCAAUUUUGGUGAAGAAGAGAUAUACUCAGGAGUGCACACACAUCCCCCAAAGAACAGAAAACAGUGAGAGAAAACUGGAGACAAAGAGAACUGGUAAGCUGGGCCUACAUAAGGUAAAAGGAGGCUCCUACCUCAUGCACAAAUAACAGAACAGUUGAGCUCCACUUCCUUCCAAGAAGACAACCCCUUAAUACACUACGUGCCCAUGGUUGGCCCUCCGCUACCAUUUACCUAGAAGGUACCACAUUGUAAAUAAUUGUAAACAUUCACAAAAAGUGCUGACAUUUAUUUAUGAGCACCAUGCUCAAAUUAUUAUCUUCACUGUAGUGGUUCAUUUGCUUGUGGGGCUUGCAUGGAGAACUCACAAAAAAGGUAGGGCCAAAAGGACUAAAACUCCUCUAUACAUUUGCUUGCAUCUCCACUAUCCCAAUGUAAAGUUAUGUCUGUAUAUGUCUGUGCAC